UGGAAUGACGACGACUCCUGUUGGCGUCUGGGCCACUUACGAUGAAUACGUGUCUGGAACUCUUAGGUUCAA